UACGUAGGUGGCAAGCGUUGUCCGGAAUUAUUGGGCGUAAAGCGUGCGCAGGCGGUUGUGCAAGACAGAUGUGAAAUCCCCGGGCUUAACCUGGGAAUUGCAUUUGUGACUGCACGGCUAGAGUGUGUCAGAGGGGGGUAGAAUUCCACGUGUAGCAGUGAAAUGCGUAGAGAUGUGGAGGAAUACCGAUGGCGAAGGCAGCCCCCUGGGCCAAGAUUGACGCUCAUGCACGAAAGCGUGGGGAGCAAACAGG
rnacentral:rRNA from 1 species